GACGAACGCUGGCGGCGUGCCUAAUACAUGCAAGUUGAGCGCUGAAGGUUGGUACUUGUACCAACUGGAUGAGCAGCGAACGGGUGAGUAACGCGUGGGGAAUCUGCCUUUGAGCGGGGGACAACAUUUGGAAACGAAUGCUAAUACCGCAUAAAAACUUUAAACACAAGUUUUAAGUUUGAAAGAUGCAAUUGCAUCACUCAAAGAUGAUCCCGCGUUGUAUUAGCUAGUUGGUGAGGUAAAGGCUCACCAAGGCGAGGAUACAUAGCCGACCUGAGAGGGUGAUCGGCCACAUUGGGACUGAGACACGGCCCAAACUCCUACGGGAGGCAGCAGUAGGGAAUCUUCGGCAAUGGACGAAAGUCUGACCGAGCAACGCCGCGGGAGUAAAGAAGGUUUUCGGAUCGUAAAACUCUGUUGGUAGAGAAGAACGUUGGUGAGAGUGGAAAGCUCAUCAAGUGACGGUAACUACCCAGAAAGGGACGGCUAACUACGUG
rnacentral:rRNA from 1 species